UAUAUUGGCAAGUGAGGGGUGUUGUUAAUUUAUGCAAUGAUGAC
rnacentral:rRNA from 1 species